UGCCAGCCGCCGCGGUAAUACGAAGGUCCCAAGCGUUGUUCGGAAUCACUGGGCGUAAAGCGUGUGUAGGCUGCGCGGAAAGUCAAAUGUGAAAGCCCGGGGCUCAACCUCGGAACUGCAUUCGAUACUCCCGUGCUAGAGUAAUGGAGAGGUAAGUGGAAUUCCUGGUGUAGCAGUGAAAUGCGUGGAUAUCAGGAGGAACAUCAAUGGCGAAGGCAGCUUACUAAGUCAUAACUGACGCUGAUGCACGAAAGCGUGGGUAGCGAACAGGAUUAGAUA
rnacentral:rRNA from 1 species